GACGAACGCUGGCGGCGUGCUUAACACAUGCAAGUCGAACGGAAAGGCCCUGCUUUUGUGGGGUGCUCGAGUGGCGAACGGGUGAGUAACACGUGAGUAACCUGCCCUUGACUUUGGGAUAACUUCAGGAAACUGGGGCUAAUACCGGAUAGGAGCUCCUGCUGCAUGGUGGGGGUUGGAAAGUUUCGGCGGUUGGGGAUGGACUCGCGGCUUAUCAGCUUGUUGGUGGGGUAGUGGCUUACCAAGGCUUUGACGGGUAGCCGGCCUGAGAGGGUGACCGGCCACAUUGGGACUGAGAUACGGCCCAGACUCCUACGGGAGGCAGCAGUGGGGAAUAUUGCACAAUGGGCGGAAGCCUGAUGCAGCAACGCCGCGUGCGGGAUGACGGCCUUCGGGUUGUAAACUGCUUUCGCCUGUGACGAAGUGUGAGUGACGGUAAUGGGUAAAGAAGCACCGGCUAACUACGUG
rnacentral:rRNA from 1 species